GAGCGAAAGCCUAAAACUCAAAAGACUUGACGGUGUCCUAAUCUACCUAGAGGAGCCUGUUCCAUAAUCGAUAACCCACGAUAAACCCAACCACCCUUUGAAAUUUUCAGCCUAUAUACCGCCGUCAACAGCCCACCUUAUAAAAGAACAAGAGUAGGCCAAAUAGGACUUACCCUAAAAAGUCAGGUCAAGGUGUAGCUAAUAAGGUGGAGACAAUGGGCUACAUUUUCUAUAAUAGAACACACGAACUAGUUUUUUAAACAAAACUACGAAGGCGGAUUUAGCAGUAAGCU
rnacentral:rRNA from 1 species